rnacentral:rRNA from 1 species
GCUGUUAGAUGUGUAACAUGGUAUGAAAUUGUUUGCAAACUUCUCAAAUUGGUGCUAGUUCUUCCUGUUGCAAUAGCUGGGGGUGAGAGAGUCUUUAAAUCAAUGAACUAUAUAAAAAACAAGCUAAGAAGCAAGAUGGGGCAGAAAUACUUGAAUGAUUAUUUGGCCACAUUCAUUGAAAGGGAAUAUUUUUUCUUGGAAUUAAGGAUGAGGACACCUUCACUCAUUUUCAAAGCAUCAAGGAUGUCAAUGUCAUCCUGUAAUUGGUAA